rnacentral:rRNA from 1 species
CACCGCCUUCUCGUCGGUUGCGUCUUCUCGCGCAUCAUUUGGCACGACAUCAUGGCAUGGUGCCGCAUACCCGUCCUUCCCCCUGAUGGCACUUCCGGCUUCUUCGACUGGUGGAUGGCAACGACGACCAGCGCGCCAGCCUGCCUCCGCAAAGGGAUCAACUCCAUCAUCAUCCUCACCUCUUGGGCACUUUGGAAGCAUCGCAACGCAGCUCUCUUCGACAAUGCUGCUCCCUCCUACAACAAGCUUGUCGAGCACAUAAAACAAGAGGCGGAACUCUGGGUAAGAGCCGGCGCCAAAGGGCUCGAUAGGAUCGUUCAUGUAACAUAA